rnacentral:tRNA from 1 species
GGGGAUUUAGCUCAGUGGUAGAGCGCUUGCCUAGGAAGCGCAAAGCGCAAGGCCCUGGGUUCGGUCCCCAGCUCCG